CAUCAGACACAUACAGAGAAAAAAUGUCGACACUGAGAGAAAAAAUCAAUCAGAGAAGAAAAUCAGAGAGUAGCUUAAAAAGAAAGAAGAAAAUCAAGUUUGGUUUCUGUUUGAGUUUUUGGUGGUAGUAUCUCAUUGCUUGUUUUCGCUAAAUCCACACUGCAGGUGAAGCUGCUUUGAUAGGACCAGAUUCAGUAUUUGAAGCCAUGGAAAAAGUUCAGUUUAUAAGGGAGAUGGUGAGGACAUCCCAAAGCCGUCAGCAAGGUUCGGACACACAGUUUCCCGAUCGCAGUUAGACAACGUAGAGUAAUACAAUAGUUGUAGUGGUGAGUCCUCAUCUAUCAAGGACAUAUUAUUUUUAUUCAUUUAUUUCAGUAUUUCAUUUUAUUCAGUCAGUCGCAGUUAGUUGGGGGUCUAUCCCAUCAACUCAGUCAGU